GACGAACGCUGGCGGCGUGCUUAACACAUGCAAGUCGAACGGAAAGGCCCUGCUUUUGUGGGGUGCUCGAGUGGCGAACGGGUGAGUAACACGUGAGUAACCUGCCCUUGACUUUGGGAUAACUUCAGGAAACUGGGGCUAAUACCGGAUAGGAGCUCCUGCUACAUGGUGGGGGUUGGAAAGUUUCGGCGGUUGGGGAUGGACUCGCGGCUUAUCAGCUUGUUGGUGGGGUAGUGGCUUACCAAGGCUUUGACGGGUAGCCGGCCUGAGAGGGUGACCGGCCACAUUGGGACUGAGAUACGGCCCAGACUCCUACGGGAGGCAGCAGUGGGGAAUAUUGCACAAUGGGCGGAAGCCUGAUGCAGCAACGCCGCGUGCGGGAUGACGGCCUUCGGGUUGUAAACCGCUUUCGCCUGUGACGAAGCGUGAGUGACGGUAAUGGGUAAAGAAGCACCGGCUAACUACAUG
rnacentral:rRNA from 1 species